CUAUAUUACUGGAGGAAGUGCUCGGCAAAAAAAGUGUCCGCAAAAACAUGGCGGAUUUUCGCGCCAUAUGACGCCAUUUCCAUGACAACUGGUUCCUCCGGCUCAUGAAAUUACCGCUGACCAGGCUCAAUUCUGAGCCCGCUACAAUUUUCACACCCCCCUGGUUUUAUCAAAAAUAUUUUUGCUUUUCGACGUUUUUGCAGUAAAUUCUCAUUGUUUUUUUUAUAUUUUUUCGACUUUUGACCAUUGGUUCAAAGAUUUAAAAGUCGUACACACUAUUCUCACCCGCGAAAGACAAAAAACCGAUAUGAAAGCCCCGAAAAAUUUAGGCAAAGACGAUAUUUGAUGGCACAGCUAUUCAGGUAAAUUUUCACAUACUAUUGGUAUGCUUUUAUUUUUAAUUUUUGAAUGAUAGUGGGAGUAAAUGGUAGAAUAUAAUCCAUCAGAUAACAGGCUCUUUGUAUAGUAUAAUGUAUUAUUUUCCGCCGUGUACUCAAAGUCUUGUCGUAGGCUACUGACAAAUACAGAAACUUUGUUUUUAUAUUCAAAGUUUUUUGGGUUUUUUUUUUACUUUACUAGCUUUGUUAAAUUGUUGGCGGACCAUGGUUUUUGUUAAACAAAUUUUGUUUUAUUUAAUUCAGUUAAAU